GAGUUUGAUCUUGGCUCAGAUUGAACGCUGGCGGCAGGCCUAACACAUGCAAGUCGAGCGGUAGAGAGAAGCUUGCUUCUCUUGAGAGCGGCGGACGGGUGAGUAAUGCCUAGGAAUCUGCCUGGUAGUGGGGGAUAACGCUCGGAAACGGACGCUAAUACCGCAUACGUCCUACGGGAGAAAGCAGGGGACCUUCGGGCCUUGCGCUAUCAGAUGAGCCUAGGUCGGAUUAGCUAGUUGGUGAGGUAAUGGCUCACCAAGGCGACGAUCCGUAACUGGUCUGAGAGGAUGAUCAGUCACACUGGAACUGAGACACGGUCCAGACUCCUACGGGAGGCAGCAGUGGGGAAUAUUGGACAAUGGGCGAAAGCCUGAUCCAGCCAUGCCGCGUGUGUGAAGAAGGUCUUCGGAUUGUAAAGCACUUUAAGUUGGGAGGAAGGGCAGUAAAUUAAUACUUUGCUGUUUUGACGUUACCGACAGAAUAAGCACCGGCUAACUCUGUGCCAGCCGCC
rnacentral:rRNA from 1 species